UACAGAGGGGGCAAGCGUUGUCCGGAAUUACUGGGCGUAAAGGGCGCGUAGGCGGCCUUCUAAGUCGAACGUGAAAUCCCUGGGCUCAACCCAGGAACUGCGUCCGAUACUGGAAGGCUUGAAUCCGGGAGAGGGAUGCGGAAUUCCAGGUGUAGCGGUGAAAUGCGUAGAUAUCUGGAGGAACACCGGUGGCGAAGGCGGCAUCCUGGACCGGUAUUGACGCUGAGGCGCGAAAGCCAGGGGAGCAAACGGG
rnacentral:rRNA from 1 species